rnacentral:sRNA from 1 species
AAAGCCUACCCUUCCUGCCACACCAGAGUAUGCUUAUGAAAGAUCAGGCCUCCAAAAUGCCCCGGCUGCAUUGUAACAUGAAUUGUAAGACACUCUGUCACUGAGCCUCACCCUCUGCCUGGGACACGGGGUGAAGAGCUGACCUCUGUCCUCAAGGAGCUCCCAGCUAAUGGAAGCCCUGAAGGAGCAGGAGGAGAUCAACUUCCGGCUGAGGCAGUACAUGGACAAGAUUAUCCUCGCCAUCCUGGACCACAAUCCCUCCAUCCUCGAGAUCAAACACUAAGGCACGGGGCUGGCUGCAGAGCAGCCUUAGGACCCUGGGACCAAGGGCAGACCCUGCCCAAGGAUGCAGGCCUAAGCCGGGCCUCACACUCACACUGUAAUUGUCUCUCUGGCCACCAUG